UCUGGAUUCCGGGGAGUGUCUGGUGCCGAUCGGACACUCCCUAGCCGCCACACUGACAGUUAUGGUUGCAGGACAAGCUUAGCGAGUCCGAACUCGACAGGGAUACUCUACAGCGUUCC
rnacentral:RNase_MRP_RNA from 16 species